UACUCAAAAUUCCAAAGGAAAAUUAUUUCCAAGAUAAAACUCCAAACACAUCAUGAAACUAUAUGACUAAGGGAGAAAAAAGACAUUUUCAGAUAAGCAAGAUCUCAAAUAAUUUGCCUCCCAUGCAACCUUUCUUGUGAAACUACUUGAGGAUGUGCUCCAUCAAAACAAGAUAGUAAACCAAGACAUAGGAAGAUAUGAAGUACAGGAAACAGAGUCAACACAGGAAGGAGAAUAAGGAAUUUCCCUCCAGGAUGGCAAAGGAGAUCCCAGGGUGAUAGCUGCACCAGGAGUUGAGAGUACCCAGUCUAGAUUGGAGCUGUGUGAUUCAAGAGACAGACAUGUUAAAGGAUGUUUGAGCAAUACCCCUGAAGCCAUGGAAUGGUUUUGUGAAUCUGAGGACAGAAUGGCCAGAAUGAGAGCUCCAUGCGGGCAGAAAUUUUUGUCUGCUUUGUUCAAUGCUGUGUCCCUAGUGCCUAGAACAGUAUCUGGCACAUGGUUGCAUGGUUGGAAGGCCAUGUCUGCAGGCUUCUUCCAGGCUACCAGCCAGAAAGUCUGAACUAAUUUCCUGGAGGGAAAACAAAGGCCCCACCUUGAACAAAUCCCAAGGCCAAGGGAAAUCCUUGCUUCCCACAUUUCUACAGCUGCCCCACCUCCAAGUGUGGCUCAUACCCCCACCUGUGAACCCAGUACACCCGGCUGGAUUUCACGGUGGGAGGAUGGCCUUUUUCCCUGAGUAUCAAUGUUUUGGGCUCUGAAAGAUUCUCAAAGUGUCCACCAAGAAGCCCUGUCUUAUAGACCUACUGCAGGCCUGCUCUGGAUAAACUUGUGAAUGAGAUGAAAUCCAGCUUCUUUUGGCCCAUUCAGUGAUCCUUUUCCCCAGCAUUUUGUCAACUGGCUGUUGACUGCAGUUUACCUUGCUAACUGAGACCAUAUUUCCAAAGGGAAAGUACAUUAAGACAUGAGGGAUCUGUGGAGCUUGGGUACAGUGGCUUAUGCUUGUAAUCCCAGCACUUUGGGAGGCCAAGGCAGGAGGAUCGCUUGAGGCCAGAAGUUUGAGACCAGCCUAGGCAAUAUAGGGAGACCCCAUCUCUACAAAAAAUAAAAAAUUAGCUGGCACACAACUGUAGUCCCAGCUACUCUGGAGGCUGAGGCAGGAGUAUAGCUUGAGGCCAGAAGUUUGAGACUAGCCUAGGCAACAUAGGGAGACCCCAUCUCUACAAAAAAUAAAAAAUUAGCUGGCACACAACUGUAGUCCCAGCUACUCUGGAGGCUGAGGCAGGAGUAUAGCUUGAGCCCAGGAGUUUGAGACUACAGUGAGCUAUGAUCACAUCACUGCACUCCAGCCUGGGUGACAGAGUGACCCUGUCUCAUGAAAAAAAUAAAAGGGGUCUGUGGGCCACACUGGGAGAGGAGAACUUGAGACGAAGAUGUAUAAACUUCAAAGUUUGAAACUUUCAGGAUAGAUUCAGUGAUUUGGGGUGCAAUGGAAAGAAUAUUUAAAAUUCAAACUGGUUUACGCAAUUGUAAGACAAACGGGGGCUCUUCCUUCAUUUCAAAAGCAUCCCUUUAUUUACUUCUGCUCAUCAAAUCUAGCUUUCUAUUCUCUCUGUAUCUUUUCCUCAGCUGCCUUGCAGGAGGGUUUCUGAUCAUACUAUGACAUGAAUGGUGUACAUUAAAUGUAUCAUCACUGCUCACACAUUUUCAUUUCCAGAGUGAAAUGAAAGAAUUACUAAGAAAUAUUAGAAUUACUCUUAUGGUGGGACAUGCAUCAGCAGCAGGUGAAUUAGAAA
rnacentral:lncRNA from 1 species